GACGGUAGAAGCAAACCUACAAAUUAGUGAACUCGCGCGUGGCGGGUAGUCACGGAGAAAAGGUGGGUGGUUGUUCGGUGCUGUCAUCAUUCCUUGGAAGACGACCAAAAUGUGGGGGCAACAAAUGGGUUAUUUUAUGGUUAAAAAUCAAAGUGCUUCGGUGUGACUCGGGUGCAUGUGAUUGCAGACCAACUACCGUCAAGAUUCACGUGUGCGAUCAAUAUGAUUACAAUUAUUUUGACCUUGCAUAGAGAACAGUGAUCUCGUGCAUGCAGUCACACACCCUAUGAUAAAUAACUAUGCCUGUAUCAGAUUAUUAUAAUAUUAUUGGUGGAAUUAACAAUACAGUUCCAUUAAAAUAAUAAUUUAUCAUCGCGUACAAUUGGGUGUACCAGAUCAUCGCUCUUACACAGAACCAUUGAAUUUGUUGUGAUUUGUCAAUGUUUAAAUUGCUUGCUUAACUGACAGAUAAAUUACUCAACAAUGUUGAGGAACUUUCCACGAACUCACUCCCUUUACUUGUCCCUCCCUCUCUUUCUCUCUUUUAGCUUUUUCUUUUUCAUUUUCGCAACAUCUUAUUCUUUUUCACUUUUUUUGUUCUUUUUCUUUUUUAAAAACUCAGGACUCACUUUAAUUUUUGGACUUUUACGAUUUUGUCUCCACCAUGCCAAGACUACGCUGUGUCUAUUUUUGUUUCCUUUUAUUUUAUUUUUUUUAAUUAAGAAAUCCCAUUUUUGUAAUUUUGUGAUGUAAAAGAAUGAAGGUGGGAUCUCGUUUGAGUUCCAAUGUAUUUGCGUGCAUGUUAUGUUAAUUGUCAGUCAUAAUUCAUAAGACUGUACCGUGUUCGUCGGAAAUCAAUUUUAACAUUGUACUAUUGUCUUUAAGAGCGAUAGAAGAAUUUCGUUAUGCAUUUGAGGACUAUCUAUUCUAGUUCAACUUGUAAAAUAUAUUCUUUUACGAAAAAAAAUCCAGUAAAUUAUAUUGCUGCAUGGUAGUGCAAAGAGCAGCGUUUAGUAAACACAAAAUUUUUUAUACUCUAUUUGAUCUUAACGUGUUGCGCCAACCCCAA
rnacentral:lncRNA from 1 species